CCUACGGGGCGCUGCAGUGGGGAAUAUUGGACAAUGGGCGAAAGCCUGAUCCAGCCAUGCCGCGUGUGUGAAGAAGGCCUUCGGGUUGUAAAGCACUUUCAGUGGGGAAGAAAGCCUUGGGGCUAAUACCCUCGAGGAAGGACAUCACCCACAGAAGAAGCACCGGCUAACUCCGUGCCAGCAGCCGCGGUAAUACGGAGGGUGCGAGCGUUAAUCGGAAUUACUGGGCGUAAAGCGCGCGUAGGCGGUCUGAUAAGCCGGUUGUGAAAGCCCCGGGCUCAACCUGGGAACGGCAUCCGGAACUGUCAGGCUAGAGUGCAGGAGAGGAAGGUAGAAUUCCCGGUGUAGCGGUGAAAUGCGUAGAGAUCGGGAGGAAUACCAGUGGCGAAGGCGGCCUUCUGGACUGACACUGACGCUGAGGUGCGAAAGCGUGGGUAGCAAACAGGAUAGAUACCCUUGUAGUC
rnacentral:rRNA from 1 species